rnacentral:rRNA from 1 species
CAGCCGCCGCGGUAAUACGGAGGGUGCGAGCGUUAAUCGGAAUUACUGGGCGUAAAGCGUACGCAGGCGGUUUGUUAAGUCAGAUGUGAAAUCCCCGAGCUUAACUCGGGAACUGCAUUUGAAACUGGCAGGCUAGAGUCUCGUAGAGGGGGGUAGAAUUCCAGGUGUAGCGGUGAAAUGCGUAGAGAUCUGGAGGAAUACCGGUGGCGAAGGCGACUAUCUGGGCCAACACUGACACUGAGGCACGAAAGCGUGGGGAGCAAACAGGAUUAGAUACCCCGGUAGUCCCUGUCUCUUAUAC